ACACUUACCUGGCAGGGGGGAUGCCAUGCUCACAAAGGUGGUUUUCCCAGGGUGAGGCUUAUCCAUUGCACUCCGGAUGUGCUGACCCCUGCAAUGUCCCCAAAUGUGGGGAACUCGACUGCAUCAUCUGUGGUAGCGGGGGACUGCUUGGUGCUCUCCCCUG